UGGGGAAUAUUGGACAAUGGGGGCAACCCUGAUCCAGCCAUGCCGCGUGUGUGAAGAAGGCCUUUUGGUUGUAAAGCACUUUAAGCAGUGAAGAAGACUCCAUGGUUAAUACCCAUGGACGAUGACAUUAGCUGCAGAAUAAGCACCGGCUAACUCUGUGCCAGCAGCCGCGGUACUACAGAGGGUGCAAGCGUUAAUCGGAAUUACUGGGCGUAAAGCGAGCGUAGGUGGCUUGAUAAGUCAGAUGUGAAAGCCCCGGGCUUAACCUGGGAACGGCAUCUGAUACUGUUAGGCUAGAGUAGGUGAGAGGAAGGUAGAAUUCCAGGUGUAGCGGUGAAAUGCGUAGAGAUCUGGAGGAAUACCGAUGGCGAAGGCAGCCUUCUGGCAUCAUACUGACACUGAGGUUCGAAAGCGUGGGUAGCAAACA
rnacentral:rRNA from 1 species